rnacentral:tRNA from 2 species
GGGCGAUUAGCUCAGUUGGGAGAGCGCCAUCCUCACACGGUGGAGGUCGCAGGUUCGAGCCCUGUAUCGCCCA